UCUUCGACGUCCAUUUUUUCGAAAGAAGAAAACAAGAAAAUAUUAAUGAAAAAUCUACGAAUCGAUCAGAACAAUUCUUUCCAACAGAUAGAUCGAUAUGGUGGUCUCCUACUUGUUGAAUGAAAUAA